UGGGCAUCUAAACGGCAUGGUCCUUCCAGAGGAAAUUCUGCUGGCAGACAGGUACCAACUCUAGGAGAUCCUACUGAAACAGAAGAUGUCAUUGAAGAGAAGACUGCUCUCCAUGUUGCUGUGCUGUGUAUAUUGCGUGGCCUCUCUCUUCUGUCUACAUCCCAACCGAAACAACUGUGUCUCCCUGGGUGCCCGGAACUUGGUGACAGUUGCACAGCAGUUGUACCAGCGUGUGAUGAGGAUGCUCCGAACCACACUCUAAACCUGGGGGACAGAAUUUAUUCCGGGCAACUAAACUGGCACAGCACCCUGUCUCCUCUGCACAGACUCCGACAUUGCCUAGACAGAGGCCAGGAACUGCAAAUAUGGAUUUAUGGAACAUUACACCAUGUGACUAAAGAUCUACUGACAGAUGCUUCUGGACUAUAAAAUAUCUUUGGUGAUGAACAAUAGAUCAAAAUAACAAAGGAAAAAAAACAUUUUAAAAAAAUGAAUUAAUAGCUUUAUCUGACUGUGAAAGGUUAUUUUUUUUAAUCAAAAUAUCUUCCAGACUUUACAAUGCUUGUUUAAGAGAAGGCCAUUAAUGCAAGAGCUUAAAAUUAUUACUAAGUGUUACAGUAUUAUCUAUCCCAAACUGGACUAGCUGAUUUUUACUGGUCUGAAUACUGCUUGAUUUGCCACUGGGCCACUGACUGUAUGCAGAGCAAUGAUGAAUCAAAAUAAAAUGUGAAUGAAAUAUACAACAAUGCACAUUAUUGUGAAAAUAUAAACUGUGGUUUAUUUAUAUCUUAGGCAAAAGUGUCUCUAUUAAUAUAAGCUGGAUGGUAGGCUAUAGAGUGUGGAUAUAUUAUAAACAACCUGUGCACUUUACAUUUAAGUGGCCGACUUUCAGUUGAUCUGUUUCAUGUUGUGCCCACUGAGUAGGCCAUGCUGCGU